AAAACGAGACUUUAUUUAAAUAAUUUGGUUGGUCUACCUGACAACGGUGUCCAGGGCCAUCACGACUCUUAAUGAAUUUUGGAUCGUGACAACAAGUAUCCAAACAAUGUAAGUCCAAGGAUAUGCUAUGAGGACGUGUGAGUUUCAAAUUUUAAAAGUUAACUUCACAAAAUUCAGUUUCCUUAUCAAUUGAGUACAUAGGAUGCCACGCAAACAACCAUGUCUACGGCAGCCUUCACGACAAUAAGCACUUGAGAUUAACUAAAGCAUGGAGCAUGAAUCUGAACUUAGAGCACAUAGAAGUCAAACAUGAAACUAGCAAAGACAAACAGAUCAAGGCAUCUAAUAAGCCGGAGACGAAUCCAUUUAGCCCAGAAACUAAACUGAAAUUCGAACGCUUCAGUCUUACUGACUACUCACACUCAAACAUUUCAAACAUCAAGCAAAUUAUCAGAUGAAUAAGAACAGAAUUAUCAAUCACGGGCAAACCAGCACACACUUUGAAGCGACUAGAAGAAGCAGCGGAAAAGAUUUAAGCGAGCACAAACCAAUUGACAUGAUCGUCACCAAAGAAAAACACAAUUCACAGCAGAAACAAAAGAAAGGAAAAGAAGUAAACUUGUUAAGCUGAAAUUCUUCUAAAUAACAGUGGAAAAAUCAGCAAAAUAUACACUCCUCGAAUUGAAGGAAAAUCUGACGAGAAACAGCAAGCAAAAUCAAACGACGGAACCAGAGCUCGAACGACGAGCACGACUCCGACCUCAAGCACAAUCGAAUGGCGAACGAAUCUUGGCUCACUCAAUCACCAUGUUGAAACCGAAAUCAAAAGAAGAAACUAAAAUAUUCUGGGAUAUUUUCUGAUUCUUCAAAAUGAAACAAAAUCUAAAUUCAAACUCUCUCUCUCUAUAUAUAUAUAUAUAUAUAUUUUGUAUUUCUGUUUUUCUAGAAGAACAAACCAAGCAAAAAAUUCUCCAAAGAAACUCGAAAGGAAGCCUAAUUUUCCAAUUCCUUUUUCCUCUCAACCUCUCAAUCUCUGUCCCAAAAAACCUCAAAUAUAUAUAUCACUCUCGAA
rnacentral:lncRNA from 1 species